rnacentral:miRNA from 1 species
UGGUUCCUGAAGAGAUGGUAGACUAUGGAACGUAGGCUUUAUGAUUUUUGACCUAUGUAACAUGGUCCACUAACUCUCAGUAUCCA